rnacentral:rRNA from 1 species
AACGAACGCUGGCGGCAUGCCUAACACAUGCCAGUCGAACGAGACCUUCGGGUCUAGUGGCGCACGGGUGCGUAACGCGUGGGAACCUGCCCUUAGGUUCGGAAUAACUCCCCGAAAGGGGUGCUAAUACCGGAUAAUGUCUUCGGACCAAAGAUUUAUCGCCUUUGGUUGGGCCCGCGUUGGAUUAGCUAGUUGGUAGGGUAAAAGCCUACCAAGGCGACGAUCCAUAGCUGGUCUGAGAGGAUGAUCAGCCACACUGGGACUGAGACACGGCCCAGACUCCUACGGGAGGCAGCAGUGGGGAAUAUUGGACAAUGGGCGAAAGCCUGAUCCAGCAAUGCCGCGUGAGUGAUGAAGGCCUUAGGGUUGUAAAGCCCUUUUACCCGGGAUGAUAAUGACAGUACCGGGAGAAUAAGCUCCGGCUAACUCCGUG